UCUGUGCAGUUCACACCCCUUGCUGGCUGGAUCUGGAUGUCACAAAGCAAAGCCCACAUUUUGUAAUUAAACUCAUCCCCCUUGUUUGGCU